rnacentral:rRNA from 1 species
CUACGGGUCGCUGCAGUGGGGAAUAUUGCACAAUGGGCGCAAGCCUGAUGCAGCCAUGCCGCGUGUAUGAAGAAGGCCUUCGGGUUGUAAAGUACUUUCAGCGGGGAGGAAGGGAGUAAAGUUAAUACCUUUGCUCAUUGACGUUACCCGCAGAAGAAGCACCGGCUAACUCCGUGCCAGCAGCCGCGGUAAUACGGAGGGUGCAAGCGUUAAUCGGAAUUACUGGGCGUAAAGCGCACGCAGGCGGUUUGUUAAGUCAGAUGUGAAAUCCCCGGGCUCAACCUGGGAACUGCAUCUGAUACCGGCAAGCUUGAGUCUCGUAGAGGGGGGUAGAAUUCCAGGUGUAGCGGUGAAAUGCGUAGAGAUCUGGAGGAAUACCGGUGGCGAAGGCGGCCCCCUGGACGAAGGCUGACGCUCAGGUGCGAAAGCGUGGGGAGCAAACAGGAUUAGAUACCCUCGUAGUC